rnacentral:lncRNA from 1 species
UCGGAUCAUAUUUAUAUAUAUUUUUACUUCGAAUUCACUCGUCUUUUCUUAGUUAGUUUCUUUUAUUUUUGAGCUAUUUACGUUAUUUUUGUGUUUAUAGGAUUUGUUAUGCAAAGAAAAUAAAAAUAGAACAAGUGAAAUUUUAUGUAAUAAAUUCGUCAAACUGUCUGUGUAGAUCAGCUUUUAAAUAAAAUUAAUUAAAAAAAUAAUAAUAAUGAUAAAUCAUGAUGAUGUUUGAAACAUCAUCAUGAUUCAUGUUUUGUGGCAGGAAGAAAGGCAACAAUGGAAUAAAAAUAGGAGGAAAGUGAGAGACUCACGGGGUUGAAAGGCAGAAAAGAAAGAAAACAGAAAUAAAUAGUGGGAGACAGCUACGGAUCCAAGGGAAAAAGGCAGCAAGGCUGCCAGAAAGAAAAGAAUAAAAGAAAGCUGCCUUGCAGCACACCAGGGAGAAGAAAAAGGGGGAGCUGCCUUUGGGCAGCUCGCAGGGACGCAAGGGACAGGGUGAGCACAGGGAGCUGCCCUUUUGGGCAGCGUGAGAGUUUUGAGAACCAGCGUGGGAAAGGACAGCAGGCACGGGAUUGGAAGGCAUGCAGAGGAAUAUAUACGGGACAGCCAAGAGAGGGUCAGAGAAGAAAAAGCUGCCCUUGCAGCCUUGAAAAACAGAAAGCUUGCGCGGACGGGAGGAGAGAGUAGCGCGGAUGGGAGGAGAACAGAGACAACGUCAGGUGGACAGAAGCUGCAAGCCUUCUCUCUCUCGGUUAAAUCUUUCCAACUUAUGUUUUACUUUCGGUUUAAUCUUUCUAAACUUUUAUUUUAUUUUUGUUUUAAUAAUGUGUAAUUAAUUUUAUUUUGGCUAGAGGUUAAUUCGAAACCAUGAAUAUAUUUGUAAUAUGAAUUGAUUACCUUCGGUUGUGAUUUCAUAAGUUGUGAUUUCAAUUUACUUAUCCGUUCGUCGUAUAAAAACUGAUUUGUGUAUGUUGGUUGAGAGUGCACGCUUAAUUUACAUGCAUGAAUUUGAUGCUAGAAUAUAAGUGAAUUUCACCUAAUCGUUAUGAACUUAUUUUCACAAGUAGUAAAGGUUGCUAGUCACAAUCACGUUAAGUAAAUUCUUGGCAAGAGUAUCAUGCUUUUCAUAGUUACGAAUGCCUCGUCAAUGCUUAUAGUUUUCACAAAGUUUAAUGAUCUUUGAUUGUAUCUCUAUUGUGCUUUUCACGUAGGGGACUUUUGAAGAAUGUUUUGAAUUGUUGUAUGCGUUUUCCCGUCCAAUUCAAUAACUUAAGGAAAACUUGAAGAUUAAAAAAGUGCUGUUCACGGUUAAUCUGGAGUAUUGAAAUUCACAAUUUAUUGAAAGAACAACUGGAAAUCAUUUUGUAUGCAAGUAUAACAUGUGUGGAGAAGAACCCUCUAGCUAGUCCGUCACCUAUCCUUUCACCUUAAUUUCAUGUUUUUGUCAAUUCUGUAAUUUAAUUAAGUUUAAUUUAUUUUUCAUCAAAACCAAACACCCAUCCAUUAUUAAAUUAUAUUAUUUAUUUAGUUUUCUUUAUUGUUAGUCUUUUAAUUUAAUUUCCGUCCAUUUCAGUUCCUAGUGUUUAAUUUAAUUGUUUUCAUUAUUUUGAGUCAUUUUAAGUGUGUUUCGAGUUAUUAGAGUUUUUAGCCUAGUUUUGUGUCCUUGAGUCUUGUUUAAUAUUUUUAAAUUAAUUUAGAAUAGAUUAGCAAUCCCUCCUAAUCCCCGGCCUAGAACGAUACCCUACUUACAUCUAUACUACAAUUGUCAAAAAGAGGGUUUAAUUUGUGUGUCAAGUAAUUCUCACAUCAAAUUUUGGCGCCGUUGCCGGGGAUUAGCAACUUUGCUAAUCCUUUUUAUUUUUGUUUUUGUUUUUUUAUAUUGGUGUUUGUGUAUUUUACUUUUGAUAUUUGAUUUAUUUUUCUUUCUUUGAUUUUAGGUUCAAAUGGAGCCGAGGGAAAUUUAAAGGAAAGAUGCGUCCGGCUAAAGACGUUAAAUCAAGCGCUUCUUGGGAGGCAACCCAAGCAUUCAACGAAGGGAGACUUUGGAAUCGUUAACCCAAUCAGAUUUGCAUUUUUACACCCUUAUCUUUAAUGCUUUCAUUUUGUCUUGUUUAGUUAGUUGUGUUAUUUGUUUGAUUUCUGUGAGUUUGUGUUAUUUAGUUUAAGUGUGGGGGAAGGUUAACCAAAGUCUCUUUACAUUAAUUUACAUUUAUAAAAAAAAAAAAAAAAAAAAUAAAAAAAAAAUAAAAAAAAAAAAAAAGAUGGCGCCGUUGAAUUAAUGAUAAAAAAAAAAUUUACAUAAAAAAAAAAAAAAAAAAAAAAGUACAAAUAUUUUACAAUAAUGUAAACUAAUAGUAUUCAUUGGUCGGGUGGUGCUUCGGUAGUAGGCGGGGCUUCAGCAGUCGGGGGGGCCACAGAAGGAGGAGGCAGCAGAGGUUGAUCAGUUGGAGCUUCACUACGCGGUGCCGCCCCAGAAGACGAAGGCAGAUGCGGUUGGAACAAACCCACAAACCUCCGAUGAUCAAGUAAAAUUUGACCAUCGGUGUCCUGCAUCUGGUCAAUCUUCCUCUUCAUGCUGGUGGCAUAGCUGUGUGCGAGCUUGUGCAAUUCCUUAUUCUCAUGCUUGAGCCCUUUAAUCUCUUGCUUGAGACUCUGUAUUUCAGCCACCAAGGAUUCAACGUGACGGGUUCGGGCAUAUAGGCGUUGGGCCAUGUUGGAUACGGAACCCGCACACUGCACACUGAGAGCCAGAGACUCCUUGACCGCCAAUUCAUCAGACCGCCUUGCGAGCAGUCUGUUAUCUCUGGGAGUGACAAGGUUUCGGGCCACCACCGCAGCGGUCAUGUCAUUUUUCAUCAUCGAAUCCCCCACGGUAAGGGGACCGGUAGGGGAUAUGAAGGAUGGCCGCCAUAUGUUGUCUGGUGAAGGCGGAGCUGCCUCUUCACCAAUGUUCAAGUCAAAACGACGAUCAGAAGGGCCAGACAUUUUUCAGAGGUGGUAAAGAAAGAAGAGAGUCGGAAUGAUCAAGAUUAAACAAGUGCAAGAAGGGAGUGUUUACAGGAGGGGUACUCAAGUGUGUUGUGGAACAAGCUUAACGUCUCUAUAAAAAGGAAGAAAUCAAAGAGGCGCUCCUCAGAGAAGCGUCCUCUCGCAAAUCGAAGAGUCGGGGCUCCGUUCUCAAACGUCUGAUUCUUUUCUCAAAAGAGGAGUUUCCUUUCUCAAAAGCCGGAUUAUUUUCUCAAAAGAGGCGUUUCAUUUCUUAAAGGCUGGGCUUGCUCAGAAACCACGAGCCGAACCCCGGAUUUCAAAAGAUCAAUUUGUCCAGACGUGUCGUCACUUGUCACACGCAAAUUGCUUUGCGGAAAUCUCGGGCAAUUUGUCGAAGCACCAAUUCAGAAAUCGAAGAGGGAAAUUCAACAGUCAAAGACACGCUAGCUUUCUCAAAAGCUGGGCUUCAACCCACGGGAAAAUCUUCUUUUCCAGAUUUAUCCGCACGUGUCACAUGCUACCUCUACAAUCGACGACGAUGCUCAGAGCUCGAAGCGCCGAUUACAGAUAUCAAUGAGGAAUCAGCUUUGCGGAAAUUACGGGCAGCUUUGUCAGAAAGCGCGUAAUUUGUAUUCUUCACCCAUCCACCGGCUGCCGACAAUGAGUGAGAGAACAGUUCCGGUUGUGAAGACAAGUCCUAUAAGUUUCUACCUUCGCCUUCCACAGCAAAAGCACACUCUCUCAGCACACCCUCUCAACACCUCUUCAUCUCCGAAAAUGCAUUCCCAAAGAAUCCUCUCGAGUCACUCUGUGUUCCUCAUUCCUUGGGAUACUCCAGCGAACAACCCAUUCAAAGCAAAAGUAUUUCAUAUCAUAAAGGUUGAAAGCAAGAGUAUCUCAUAUCAUGCUUUCUCCAUGUCCUUCUCCUUGUCUUUGUUUUCCGACAAGGAGAAAGAGAGCAAUCAGCCAGCAUUUGGUAUCAAUCUUCCAAUCUGGAGCCAACUGCCUGGAACCCUUUCCUGAUUGCUUACCUAGCCUUGCUCUCGAGUACUCAUCUUCUUCAUCUUAUGCUUCCGUUUUGUCUACCACAUCUACUUGGGGGACAAGUAAGGGAGGUGAAAAUGAGACCUCGAAGCAUGUGGAGACAAUUCAGCUAGGGACAAGGAGAAAGAAAGCAAGAGGUGGGCACUUGGAAAGAUUGAAGAAAGAAAUAAGGACCAACACCUUUCCCUCGUGCCUGCCCGUUGUGCAGAAGAAACAAGCAGAGAAGAAUGCAGCUUGCACAAUCAUCCCAGCGGAAGGAGUCCGAACUGAGGAACUAGAGAAGCUGCCACAUCUGCUUGGAGAACAAAUAAGGAACUGCAACAUAACCAAAGAGCAAAGCUUCGCCGUACAAUAUCAUAAAAUCAUCACUUGCAAGUGAAAAGCUAAGUGUCACCCUGUUCAAGAAAGAAAGUGGAAAGCUGUGGAAAGUCAACAAGACCAAUGACCAAUGAUUAUUUAUUAGUUUUAUUCAUUAUCUUUUAUCGUAAUUUUCAAUUUUUCGUUUGCAAUUUUUUUUUAAUUAAUUUUCUUGCGUACUUAACUGAAUUUUUCCUUUUCUUUGCAGGAACUUUUGGUUAUUUCCACCCUUGAAGUUGAUUGCAGAAUUUUAGCUUGGGGGUCAUCGCUUGAUUUUACUGCAAAUUAGGGAAGUUUUCAGUCCAAUUGCGUUAUUUUGUUUCUUAUUAUUUAUUUAUUUUAUUUUAUUUUUUUAUUUGCAUUAUAGUGUUUUCUGACAUUGGGGACAAUGUCCAGUUUAAGUGUGGGGGUAGAAAUCUCCAGAAUUUCAUUUGUUUCUGUGUUGCUGUUUUUUGUGUUCUUAAUUAGUUUUGUUUUCUUUUAAAAAAAAAAAAAAAAAAAAAAAAAAAAAUUUAAAUAAAAAAAAAUAAAUAAAUAAAAAAUCGGAAAAUUUAAAAAUCUAAAAAUAUUGUCUUGUUUCCCUUAUUGUUUUGAAUUAGAUUUUUGUUAGUUUCCCGACCCAAUGAUAUAAUUGGAUCAAAUUUGAACCAUGAUCAUCAAGAACUUAGUUAACAUGUGUUUUGUGAAAUUCCUAAUUCUCUUGUUAGUUUUGUACAUGUUUGAUCAUCUUUGAAAAACCAAAUGCACAUAGCCUUGUUAAUGUGAAACUAAAGUAUGACUUAAAGCUUCAUAUGUGAAUUUAGUGACCAUAUACAUCCUAUGUGAGUUUUUGAGCCGAUUGAAAGUGUGUGCAUUUUUCAUACACUCCUAUUCUUUCAUGUGUGAUGAACUUAUGUGAGAUACAUCUCUAGAACUUGCGUAACGAUCUUUCGAAAUGUUUGUCAUCGAUUGCAUGAACUUGGAAAUGAUAGAGGCAUUAGGUUUACCACUAUGGCCCAAAGAACCAUGUUUCCCAAAGAAAAUUGAUAUCAUUAGAUUGCCAAUUUGAGCCGUGUAUGUUGAGCCUUUUAUUUCUUAUCACCAGAUAUGUCUACCCUUAUACCUGAAACAUUUUUCCUUACCCUUUCCAAGCGAGCAAUGUGAGAUUGUCUUAUGAGAAAUGUUUGUAAAGUACUUUGAAGGUGUUUGGCAAAAAAAAUAAGUGUGGGGGUAUUUCAUGUUUGUAUUAAAAAAAAAAAAAAAAAAAAAAGAAAGAAAAAGAAAGAUUGUAUACGAAGAAAGAAAAAAAAAUAAUGUUUUUAAAGUUUCAGUUUAAGGGUGUGAUUGGAGGUUUCAGAAGAAUCGUUGGAAAGAUUGAGUUCUUAUAAAUCUAAACAAAAGAAUUGCUUGCAAUGUAGCUUGGAACUUGUGUUUUCCUAUUCUUUCUUUCGUUUCAAUAACCCUAUCCCUAAGCCUCAUUACAUCCAAUAAAAGUCCUCUUGAUUUAAGUUUUGCAAUUAUGAUUGUGGAGAUGAGAUCUUUAUGCAAGCUUAUGGUAGAAAUUUCACAUUUGAUUCUUUGAGCAAAACACAUUAAAACUAAACACAUGUGUGAUUCAGUGCAUAUCCCGUGAGAAGGUCGCUAGUUUGCAUAUGAUGAUUUUAAAAAUAAAAACUUGAAAUUGCAUUAGCAUGGCUAUCUCACACACUACACUUCAAGGAUGAUUUAAAGAUUACUGCUAAUAUUUGAAAAAGGAAGAUGAACUUGGGAUUAGUUCCUUGAUGCUAGCUAUGGUUCUUGAUGAUUUGUUUUCUUGAAUGAAAUUCUAUGAGGGUCACAUAGAGGGAAGCUAAUGUUUUUCUUUGUUACUUCUUGUUCUUAUUUUCUUUGUUUUGCUCGAGGACUAGCAAAAGUUAAGUGUGGGGGUAUUUGAUCGGAUCAUAUUUAUAUAUAUUUUUACUUCGAAUUCACUCGUCUUUUCUUAGUUAGUUUCUUUUAUUUUUUGAGCUAUUUACGUUAUUUUUGUGUUUAUAGGAUUUGUUAUGCAAAAAAAAAUAAAAAUAGAACAAGUGAAAUUUUAUGUAAUAAAUUCGUCAAACUGUCUGUGUAGAUCAGCUUUUAAAUAAAAUUAAUUAAAAAAAUAAUAAUAAUGAUAAAUCAUGAUGAUGUUUGAAACAUCAUCAUGAUUCAUGUUUUGUGGCAGGAAGAAAGGCAUAACAAUGGAAUAAAAAUAGGAGGAAAGUGAGAGACUCACGGGGUUGAAAGGCAGAAAAGAAAGAAAACAGAAAUAAAUAGUGGGAGACAGCUACGGAUCCAAGGGAAAAAGGCAGCAAGGCUGCCAGAAAGAAAAGAAUAAAAGAAAGCUGCCUUGCAGCACACCAGGGAGAAGAAAAAGGGGGAGCUGCCUUUGGGCAGCUCGCAGGGACGCAAGGGACAGGGUGAGCACAGGGAGCUGCCCUUUUGGGCAGCGUGAGAGUUUUGAGAACCAGCGUGGGAAAGGACAGCAGGCACGGGAUUGGAAGGCAUGCAGAGGAAAUAUAUACGGGACAGCCAAGAGAGGGUCAGAGAAGAAAAAAGCUGCCCUUGCAGCCUUGAAAAACAGAAAGCUUGCGCGGACGGGAGGAGAGAGUAGCGCGGAUGGGAGGAGAACAGAGACAACGUCAGGUGGACAGAAGCUGCAAGCCUUCUCUCUCUCGGUUAAAUCUUUCCAACUUAUGUUUUACUUUCGGUUUAAUCUUUCUAAACUUUUAUUUUAUUUUUGUUUUAAUAAUGUGUAAUUAAUUUUAUUUUGGCUAGAGGUUAAUUCGAAACCAUGAAUAUAUUUGUAAUAUGAAUUGAUUACCUUCGGUUGUGAUUUCAUAAGUUGUGAUUUCAAUUUACUUAUCCGUUCGUAUAAAAACUGAUUUGUGUAUGUUGGUUGAGAGUGCACGCUUAAUUUACAUGCAUGAAUUUGAUGCUAGAAUAUAAGUGAAUUUC